CCUACGGGAGGCAGCAGUGGGGAAUAUUGGGCAAUGGGCGCAAGCCUGACCCAGCAACGCCGCGUGAAGGAAGAAGGCUUUCGGGUUGUAAACUUCUUUUAUGAGGGACGAAAGAAAUGACGGUACCUCAUGAAUAAGCCACGGCUAACUACGUGCCAGCAGCCGCGGUAAUACGUAGGUGGCAAGCGUUAUCCGGAUUUACUGGGUGUAAAGGGCGUGUAGGCGGGACUGCAAGUCAGAUGUGAAAAUUAUGGGCUCAACCCAUAACCUGCAUUUGAAACUGUAGUUCUUGAGUGAAGUAGAGGCAGGCGGAAUGCCUAGUGUAGCGGUGAAAUGCGUAGAUAUUAGGAGGAACACCAGUGGCGAAGGCGGCCUGCUGGGCUUUUACUGACGCUGAGGCUCGAAAGUGUGGGGAGCAAACAGGAUUAGAUACCCCUGUAGUC
rnacentral:rRNA from 1 species